GGGGAUGUAGCUCAGUUGGCAGAGCACCUGCUUUGCAAGCAGGGGGUCGUCGGUUCAAGUCCGAUCAUCUCCA
rnacentral:tRNA from 1 species